rnacentral:RNase_P_RNA from 1 species
GGAGUCCGCCGGGCGGCCGCGGGAGGUUCGCCUCUCGAGGAAAGUCCGGACUCCAAAGGGCAGGGUGCUGGGUAACGCCCAGGCGAGGCGACUCGCGGAAAGUGCCACAGAAAACAGACCGCCCUUCGGGGCAAGGGUGAAACGGUGAGGUAAGAGCUCACCAGCGGAUCGGGCAACCGGUCCGGCUCGGCAAACCCCACCCGGAGCAAGGCCAAGCAGGAAGCGUUCGAGGACGGCCCGUCCGAGCUUCCGGGUAGGCCGCACGAGGGCUCGCGAAGAGCCCCGGUGGGCCGCAAGGCCCUCAGAGAGAUGGUCGCCGCUCCGGCUUCGGCCGGAGCACAGGAUCCGGCUUACAGGCGGUCUCCUCCG